UCCUUGGUGUAUUAUUAAAUCUCCAGGAUUCAAGCAUUGCCUGAUUUGCCAUGAGUCCUUCCCUCUUAGUGACGGAGUCAGGCACUGCCUACUGGUAGACAUGCCUAGUGGUCAGACUGGAGGUCAAAGCCUGACAAAGGGUUGGGACUGGGCCGAGGGAGGUGCUGAAACCAUAGCUGAGGACAGGCUGGGGUCAGAACCAAAAUCAGAGACCGUAGACAAGCCAGAAUCAGUACCAUAGCCAGAAUCCAGGAGCAAGCCAGGGCCCAAAGACGGUGGUCAGAGUCUAUAGAUGAGUCAGAAUCAGUACUGUAACCAAGGUCCAGGUUCAAGCCAAGGGGGUCAAAGCCAGGUGGUCAGAGUCCAGGGACAAGCCAAGUCAGUGUAGUAGCCAGGAUCCAGAUACAUACCAACGGUUGAAGCCGGGUAGUUGAGUCCAAGAAUUCAGGGAGGGUCAAGAGGUGGAGGCAAGACUGGAAUAGGUAAGUAAUAGGAUUGGCAUAAGGUCAGAGUAGGGCAAGGACAAAACUGGAACAGAGCUCAGCCAGGCUGGCUCAGGAACAGGAUCAAGAUCAGGCUUGGAGUCUCAAGAGUCAGAUACAAGGCAAGGCAGCAGGCAGGUUUCUGUCUGGGUAGUGCUGUUGCACCUACUGAUCUGCAGCUCUGGCAGGGUUGGAGAAAUACCUGAGCCUGGGGGGUCAUCUGACGCGGGCUCAGCUCAGGAAUAGAUUGCUGCUGCAUGCCUGAGGGCUGAGUCACUGCAGGCUCACUUGGAGUCAGUGCAGUUGGGUUGUUGCUGCAUGCUUGAGAGGUGACUCACCUCUUCUCUGUUGGAGGGGCACCUCUUGAGACUCGGGGGAUGGGUGGCCUGCCCAUUCUGGAAGCCCUCCCUUCCCCAGCUUAAGGGGAGGAGGGGAUCCACUGGACCCAGGCACCAACUAAUCACGGGGGGACAAGAAAUAGUAAAAAAACAGGAUCGGGAGUGCAGGUCACAGGGAUAAAUCAGGGAUUCAGUAGGGGACCCUGAGCAGAGGAAGGCGAAACCAGAGGAAACCUGGGACAGUGCCCAUUGCUCCUUGAAGGCAUCUGUGGAGGCAGUGACACAGCCCAGAGGAACUCUGUCUGCAGGUUAACUUUCAUUGGCACUGAGCCAGACAAAGCAGACUGAUCUGUCCAAAGCUGAACUGUCACAAACAACUCUCCCUUUCAGCAGAGAAGCUAAGGACAAAAUGGUCAUGGAAGCGGAAUUGCCUUCCGAUCCCUAGACAUUACUCCUGGUCUGGACUGAGGAACGAAGGAAAGGAAGAGAAGCCUAGGAAUUAAAGACUGCAGCUGCUUCUCAAAGCUCAUAUUGCUUUUUCAAACUUCAUAGCAAUGGC